GCCUCCCAGGAUUUUAUUUUUGUUGUCUGUUUUGGUUGCUGUUUUUGAGAAAGGGUUUCACCAAAUUGCCCAGGUGGCCUCAAACUUGGGAUCUUACUGCCUCACCCUCCCAAGUAGCUGGGAUCACAGGCGUGUACCAUUGUGCCUGGCUUUUUGGUUAUAAUAAAACUACCAUGUAUAUCUUUAAAAAGAAUUUGUAAAAGAUGCUCAAAUUUGUAAUUGUUUUUAUCACAUAUUUUUUAUUCUGUUCACUUUUUGAAGGGUGGGGUACUGAGGAUUGAACCCAGGGGUGCUCAACCAUUGAUCUACAUCCCUAACCCCUUUAUUUUCUGUUUUAAGACAGGGUCUGGCUAAGUUGCUAAGGCUAUUGUCUAACAUAAGAUCUUCCUGCCUCAGCCUCCUGAGUUGGGCUCAACAUUUUGUUUGAGACUAUUCAUGCAGUUGUAUAUAGCUAUAAUUUGUUCAUUUUCAUUGCUUUACGAUAUUACGUGAACAAAAAUAAUCCUGUUACUGAUAGGCAUUUGAAUUAUAGUGAGGUUUUGGCUGUGUUGAAUACUGCUCUGAACAUUCUUAUAAAUAUCUCUUUGUGAACAUAUAUUUUUUAUGGGUGGAAUUGCUAAGUUAUAGAUGUGCCAUGUCCAAUUUUAGAUAAUCUCAAAUUAUUGUUUUAUUGGUGCAUUAUAAUUAUACUAAUAGUGGGAUUCAUUAUGUGUGUUCAUACAUGCAUAGAACAUAAUUUGAUCAAUGUCAUUCCCUGGUACUCUCCCUAUCCCUCUGUUCUUUCUCCCUUGAUCUGCUUCUCUAUGCUACUGAUCGCCUUUAUAUUGU
rnacentral:lncRNA from 1 species